ACGAGUUUUAAUUGUUAGGUUAGAGUUGAGCUGGUUAAUCUAAUUAAUAUGUGCUUACUCUAAUCGAAACAAGUCCACUCAUUACUUAACACUUGUGAACUUAUUCAUUACAAACAUUAUUAUUUGUUAUUGGACUGUUUGAUUAUUAAAAAGUUAAUA
rnacentral:misc_RNA from 1 species